CAGGCAGAAACACAGCACAAGACACCGAAGCUGAGAGUCUGAGUGAGAGCUGUCAGCUGGUCUCACGGCUCCAUGUACCCUGAACCCAACACGGAUUCCCCUGCUCGUCUCUCCACGCGGCAGACUGGAUCCCCCUAUACAGCUCGUUAUGGGAGUCCAAAGAGGCAGCUGCAGUUUUACAGGUAC